rnacentral:rRNA from 1 species
GACGAACCGUGCAAACGUUGUUCGGAUUCACUGGGCUUAAAGGGCGCGUAGGCGGGUGGUCAAGUCAGAGGUGAAAUCUUUCGGCUCAACCGGAAAAGUGCCCCUGAUACUGGCCAUCUCGAGGGAGGUAGGGGCAUGUGGAACUUCCGGUGGAGCGGUGAAAUGCGUAGAUAUCGGAAGGAACGCCGGUGGCGAAAGCGACGUGCUGGACCUCUUCUGACGCUGAGGCGCGAAAGCUAGGGGAGCAAACGGG